UGGCACCACCUGAACUGUGUGGUGGAGCAGAAGGGAAUCCCUUGAAAAGGACCCUCUACUCCCUGCCACUCUGAGCCUCAUUAUCCAACUGCAAGUGUCAGAAACCCAACUUGAAUCUUCAUAAGCAAGGAAGAAUACUUACUGAAUUGUCCAAGUCGGGCAUGGCUGGAUCCAGAAAGUCCGGGAACAUGGGCAGAUGUACACUGGGAGCUUUACCUACUGGGUGCGAUCUGUGCUUUCCAGACACAAACUGGACACCAUCCUGGGCAGGCUGGGCUACACGGCCACCUUGGAAUCUGAGUUCUCACUGGUCCAGGCCAUCAGCAAAGAGGAUGUCAAGUAGAUGGUAUUCGAGAUCUUCCUGGCGAGGGUCUCAUGUGAAGCCGUUCUCAGAACCGCGGGCAUACGGAUGCUUGAGCCAGGCACAGAGAAACUCGCUAGGACCCACA
rnacentral:sRNA from 1 species